AUUGAACGCUGGCGGCAGGCCUAACACAUGCAAGUCGAGCGAGUGGCGGACGGGUGAGUAAUGUAUGGGGAUCCGCCCGAUAGAGGGGGAUCACUACUGGAAACGGUCGCUAAUACCGCAUACUAUGAGAAGCACCCAUAUGGGAUUAGCUAGUAGGAGGGGUAAAGGCUCACCUAGGAGACGACCUCUAGCUGGUCUGAGAGGAUGAUGAGCCACACGGGGACUGAGACACGGCCCAGACUCCUACGGGAGGCAGCAGUGGGGAAUAUUGCACAAUGGGCGCAAGCCUGAUGCAGCCAUGCCGCGUGUAUGAAGAAGGCCUUAGGGUUGUAAAGUACUUUCAGCGGGGAGGCGUUACCCGCAGAAGAAGCACCGGCUAACUCCGUGCCAGCCGCCGCGGUAAUAC
rnacentral:rRNA from 1 species